AGUCCCGGCUAGGGACACAGCUCUUAGACUUUGAGCUAGACAACCAGGAGGACAGGAGGACCUAGUAUCCUGCCUCCAUCAGCCCAUCAUUUAUGCAAAUGCUACUUAGUUGCCGUCUAGAUGCAGGAUGCUGUCUGCCCUGUUAAAUGCUGUGUGAACCCAGAUGGAAGCUGAGCAGACAUCACACUCGUGAGCAGCUCCCCUUCCUGUGAGCAUCUCCCCUUCCUAUGUUAUACGACCUCGUUCGCUGAAGUCAAAGAUGCAGAGGGGCCAAGGUGUGGGCUCCGGACCUCACACCAGUGUGGCAGAUUCAACAAGCCCAGAAUAAGCCUCUUCCUUUGCUCACAAUAAGAUUUAUUAUAGAAGCAACAACUUCUGCAUACCAGAGGUGAGAGAUGCAGCAAUCCUCUCCGUGCUCAUGAAGCUUAAAAUUUGGGGGAGAAAGUAGAGAAAAAUUAAGCCAACUGCCUCUUCAUUCCUCAGUCACACUCCUCCUCUGACCCUGCUCCAGGAGGCUCAUCUUGUCAGACUUCACACUGAAUGAGCGCUGAGGAUGCUGUAGAGUAUGAGCUGUGUGCAGGUGAUAGCAGUGGAAAGAAGACUAAGACAGACUCCAUCUAGAAACCAGAAUGACCUCUUUUAUGGAAAAAGAGACUGUAUCACUCGUGUUUCUACCCACAAAAACCUCCACUGAUUGCUAUCUUCUGGUCCUGUACUCCUCAAGCUCAAAGGCCAACGUCCUGGCAUUUGUGUGACGGCUUUUGCCCUACCCUGCAGAAUUUGCAAUAGGCAGUCUCUACAUGUACUCAGGGCCCAGUGGGCAUUCAACAUGUUCAUUGAAUGACAA
rnacentral:lncRNA from 1 species